rnacentral:rRNA from 1 species
CAGAAGGGUCUGCUGGGGGCACCCCCGGCGUUGGGUAGUACUUGGAUGGGAGACCUCCUGGGAAUACUAGGUGCUUUAUUUG